GAUGAACGCUGGCGGCGUGCCUAAUACAUGCAAGUCGAGCGAACAGAUAAGGAGCUUGCUCCUUUGAAGUUAGCGGCGGACGGGUGAGUAACACGUGGGUAACCUACCUAUAAGACUGGGAUAACUUCGGGAAACCGGAGCUAAUACCGGAUAACAUUUAGAACCGCAUGGCUCUAAAGUGAAAGAUGGUUUUGCUAUCACUUAUAGAUGGACCCGCGCCGUAUUAGCUAGUUGGUAAGGUAACGGCUUACCAAGGCGACGAUACGUAGCCGACCUGAGAGGGUGAUCGGCCACACUGGAACUGAGACACGGUCCAGACUCCUACGGGAGGCAGCAGUAGGGAACCUUCCGCAAUGGGCGAAAGCCUGACGGAGCAACGCCGCGUGAGUGAUGAAGGGUUUCGGCUCGUAAAACUCUGUUAUUAGGGAAGAACAAAUGUGUAAGUAACUGUGCACAUCUUGACGGUACCUAAUCAGAAAGCCACGGCUAACUACGUGCCAGCAGCCGCGGUAAUACGUAGGUGGCAAGCGUUAUCCGGAAUUAUUGGGCGUAAAGCGCGCGUAGGCGGUUUCUUAAGUCUGAUGUGAAAGCCCACGGCUCAACCGUGGAGGGUCAUUGGAAACUGGGAAACUUGAGUGCAGAAGAGGAAAGUGGAAUUCCAUGUGUAGCGGUGAAAUGCGCAGAGAUAUGGAGGAAUACCAGUGGCGAAGGCGACUUUCUGGUCUGUAACUGACGCUGAUGUGCGAAAGCGUGGGGAUCAAACAGGAUUAGAUACCCUGGUAGUCCACGCCGUAAACGAUGAGUGCUAAGUGUUAGGGGGUUUCCGCCCCUUAGUGCUGCAGCUAACGCAUUAAGCACUCCGCCUGGGGAGUACGACCGCAAGGUUGAAACUCAAAGGAAUUGACGGGGACCCGCACAAGCGGUGGAGCAUGUGGUUUAAUUCGAAGCAACGCGAAGAACCUUACCAAAUCUUGACAUCCUUUGAAAACUCUAGAGAUAGAGCCUUCCCCUUCGGGGGACAAAGUGACAGGUGGUGCAUGGUUGUCGUCAGCUCGUGUCGUGAGAUGUUGGGUUAAGUCCCGCAACGAGCGCAACCCUUAAGCUUAGUUGCCAUCAUUAAGUUGGGCACUCUAGGUUGACUGCCGGUGACAAACCGGAGGAAGGUGGGGAUGACGUCAAAUCAUCAUGCCCCUUAUGAUUUGGGCUACACACGUGCUACAAUGGACAAUACAAAGGGCAGCUAAACCGCGAGGUCAUGCAAAUCCCAUAAAGUUGUUCUCAGUUCGGAUCGUAGUCUGCAACUCGACUACAUGAAGCUGGAAUCGCUAGUAAUCGUAGAUCAGCAUGCUACGGUGAAUACGUUCCCGGGUCU
rnacentral:rRNA from 1 species